rnacentral:rRNA from 1 species
UACGGAGGGUGCAAGCGUUAUCCGGAUUUACUGGGUUUAAAGGGUGCGUAGGUGGGUCUGUAAGUCAGUGGUGAAAUCUCCGAGCUUAACUCGGAAACUGCCAUUGAUACUAUAGGUCUUGAAUAUCCUGGAGGUAAGCGGAAUAUGUCAUGUAGCGGUGAAAUGCUUAGAUAUGACAUAGAACACCCAUUGCGAAGGCAGCUUACUACGGGAUCAUUGACACUGAGGCACGAAAGCGUGGGGAUCAAACAGG